rnacentral:lncRNA from 1 species
CCCACAGCCUACUGGUGCCCAUGAGGCAAAGCAGCUCAUGGAAGAGCCUUCUCUCCUGUGGACUCCACUCACACCCAGGCUUGGGGCAACUCAGUGAGCGGCCAGAGCAGCACCCCCAAAGGUGCCUGGAUGCCAGUCAAGGCUACUAUGGGGGAGAAAAGCCAUCAGAGGGCCUGCCCUGUCCGGGAGGAAGACUGUCCGGCCGCCUGGCUUGAGUGUCCCAUCAUAGCUUCCACUCGGUUCAGCACCUCAGCACUGGUUAGAGGAGUCUGCAUGUAAGGACUGCUGAUGCUGGCCGAG